rnacentral:rRNA from 1 species
UGAGUAACUGCGCUCCUGAGCUGUUGUACCGGUUUUCCAUGGUUUGCUUUAAUCGGCAGGCUGUGGUGGCUGGUGUGUUUACCUUGAAUAAAUCAAAAUGCUCAAGAUAGGCGUCUCGCCUGAAUGACAGUGCAUGGAAUAAUGGAAUAAGACUUCGGUUUAUUCUGUUGGUCUUGGAACCGAUGUAAUGGUUAAGAGGGACUGACGGGGGCAUUUGUAUCGAUGCGUGAGAGGUGAAAUUCUUGGACCGCAUCGAGACAAACUACUGCGAAAGCAUUUGCCAAGAAUGUCUUCAUUAAUCAAGAACGAAAGUCAGAGGAUCGAAGGCGAUUAGAUACCGCCCUAGUUCUGACCGUAAACGAUGCCAACUAGCGAUCAGGCGGUGGCUAUUAAACCCUGCCUGGGAGCUUCCCGGAAACGAAAGUCUUCGGGUUCCGGGGGUAGUAUGGUUGCAAAGCUGAAACUUAAAGGAAUUGACGGAAGGGCACCACCAGGAGUGGAGCCUGCGGCUUAAUUUGACUCAACACGGGAAAACUCACCCGGCCCGGACACUGUAAUGAUUGACAGAUUGAGAGUUCUUUCUUGAUUCGGUGGUUGGUGGUGCAUGGCCGUUCUUAGUUGGUGGAGUGAUUUGUCUGCUUAAUUGCGAUAACGAACGAGACCUUAACCUGCUAAAUAGCCCGUAUUGCUUUGGCAGUACGCCGGCUUCUUAGAGGGACUAUCGG